AACGGUAUCCGGCCUAAAAGGGUGAACGGACACACUGGAACUGAGACACGGUCCAGACUCCUACGGGAGGCACGCAGUAGGGAAUAUUGCUCAAUGGGGGAAACCCUGAAGCAGCAACGCCGCGUGGAGGAUGAAGGUUUUAGGAUUGUAAACUCCUUUUGUUAGAGAAGAUAAUGACGGUAUCUAACGAAUAAGCACCGGCUAACUCCGUGCCAGCAGCCGCGGUAAUACGGAGGGUGCAAGCGUUACUCGGAAUCACUGGGCGUAAAGAGCGCGUAGGCGGGAUAGUCAGUCAGGUGUGAAAUCCUAUGGCUUAACCAUAGAACUGCAUUUGAAACUACUAUUCUAGAGUGUGGGAGAGGUAGGUGGAAUUCUUGGUGUAGGGGGUAAAAUCAA
rnacentral:rRNA from 1 species